rnacentral:lncRNA from 1 species
UUGUGGAAGAUUUUCAAUCGAGGUCGGAGAUGGUUGGAGUGAGCCGAAGGCCGUCGGAGCGGCGUCCCUGCAAAAUAAGUCCCGAUCAAAAUUGGUUCCGGUGUGGACUCUCCGACGGUCAAGUCAGAAAUCUGGCACAAUAGAUGAGAAAGGGGAGAACUAUGGGAGCACAAGCAUGGUAAGCACACGGCUCGCUCUAGCCAUCUCCGACCUCGGU